ensembl:lncRNA
ACUGUGUUGGAACAGCAGCAGCUGACAUGAUUGUUGAUAAGAGGAAGAGAAAGAGGAGGAUGCAUGUUUUUGGAGUGAAAGAGGAGGAGGGGGAGAUGACUGUCACAUCGAGGAGGAGGAAACUGGAUAUCUGGGCCCGGUUUCCCAAACGCAUCUUAAGGCAUCCAAUGGUUCUAACGGUGAACUUAUCCGAAAGAUGAUUUUGGGAAACCGGGCCCUGAUUAACACUAGUAAGUACUGUCUUAAAAACAGAGGCACAAACUCUGCAGUUGUUGAACUGAUGUUUGGUGUUAAAGGGGAAAUCUGCAAUUGCUACAUCCAUAUUUUGACUCUUAAAUGAUUUAUUUACCAUUGAUUCUUGAAGAAUAUAACACAUGCCUCAUGAGCUUAGUUCAACUGUUGUACCCCAUCAGAUCCCCAAAUAAGCUUUUUUACUCCAAUGUUUAGAAACAAUGUAAAUCAACACUGUAUCGCCUCAACAUGUUUUUAUUUAUUUAUUUGACCUUUUAUUUAUACCGUUUUUGUCUCAUUGAGAUAACAUCUAUUUUCCAAGAGAGACCUGGUCCAAUAGCAAUGUUGACAAAAACAAACACUGUAUCCUGUAUCCUAAAAACAGGGUAAAACUAUGUAAACCAACACUGUAUAGCCUCAACAUGCUUAAAACUAUAAUGCUGAUAUCAUGGAUGGUCAGUCCUUGCAUCCAUAGGUCUGCCUAUGAAUUUGAGACCAGUUACAUUUCUCCAGCCCCAUCCAUCAUCUUAUUACCAAAACAGUGGUGGAAUUACAGCUUUGUUAUUGUUUCAAUUGCAGAUUGAUUGCUUGUUGUGUGGCUUUUUUAAAGGGACAACCUAAGAGAGACUUGGUUUGGUAAACAGCUGAGGGAUGGGGGCUGGAUAAAUGUAACCACUCUCACAUUCAUAGAGAAAGCUAUUGUAUCAACCUUAACACAAAACCUAGGGACCUCGUCAAGAAGUUCAGGCAUCUUGGCGUAACAGUUAUAAGGUGUUGGCUUGACAGUCAGUCGACCCAGGUUUGAGUUCAGCUCAGGGCUCCCCCUGAAUUCACUACACUAUGAAUACAAGGACUGGCCAUCCAUGAUGUCAUAAUGAUAGUUUAACCAGGUUUCUAGGAUAUAUAGUAUAUUCUAGAAUUCAUCCAUGAUGUCAUAAUGAUAGUUUAUCCAGGUUUCUAGGAUAUAUAGUAUAUUCUAGUAUGAUAAGUGUAGAUUUCCUGUGGGUGUCAAAUUGUUAGAGCUUUUGACAAGUCAUUGUAUAAUAUUCAGCCAAUUUAUUUUCAUGCCAUUACAUCAAUAUGGCCCAUCCAGAAGAGAAGUAACUCACCCUGAACCACCUCCUCCUGCUGGCCUUCAUAAAUUCUGACGUUGCUGGUAAUAGGCUACACAAGCAGUCGGCAAGCUACAUUUGGAGUGCAAAUAUAUCUGACCAUUUCUACCAAUCUGCUUGCCAGUUAUUAUUUUCAUAUUCACAUUUUACUGGAACAGUUUAAUUUAAUUUAUAAUAGUAUCUCAAAAUCAUUGUCUGUGAUUAAGCUACAUUCUAUCUAAAUAUAAAUGAAAAUUAUACAAUUCAAGUACUUUAAAACUAUUCUCAUUUGCAAUUGAUUUUGAUUAGACUUUGUUUACUCGCUGUUAGAGGUGAAGUGAAAUUUGCUUUGAGAAGCUCCAGAACUCAUUAGUGGUGGUGCGUUAAGACAAUCAGAAAUACUAUCAGACAUCCCCAAAUGGGCACAUUUAUAGGCCUACAUUUGUGUGCAGGCCAGGUAGAUUAAUCCUACUUAGAUAUGCGUAAUCAGGUGUGCUUCCUUACUCAACAUUGACAGGAGUGUUUCAAAUGAAAGACAAUGAAUAAAUUGACAAAACUGACGCAUCUUGUGUCUCCUUAUGCUGGGAAAACAGUUUUCAUGGGCACAGAAAUCCUAAAUCAUGUCAGAGUUUGUUAAAUCCAAUGGUUCUAACCGAGAGUCACCUAACUUUAUAGACAACACCCAAAUGGAUACUGUCGUUAGCGCGGUUCUUC